AAGGGAGACCUAAUUCAGGUAGGAGACGAAAAAGAGUAGUCCCUACCAAGAAUCAAUCCCAAAAGGUCGGAGCGAGGCGAAAUUGGCUUUCAAACUAGGUUCUGGGUUCACAUAAGACCUGAAUCAGGAACAAGGGCUAUUAGCUCAGGUGGUUAGAGCGCACCCCUGAUAAGGGUGAGGUCCCUGGUUCGAGUCCAGGAUGGCCCACCUGCACAGGUGGCAAAAACAAAGAAAAGAAGCUCCGAAUCAGCACCUUAUCUUACUCAUAUAGUAAGAGAGAAUGCUGGCUCUGAGUUCAGAGUCCAGAGGAACCUUGAAAACUGCAUAGAGCUAGGUGAAAAAGCCAAAAUAGAAGACCGCAAGGUCAAGCUAAUAAGGGCUAACGGUGGAUACCUAGGCAC
rnacentral:tRNA from 1 species